AGGGAAGGCAAGCCAGCAAGUUGUGCUCCUCUGAGGCUUGUUUCAGGUUCCUGCCUUGAAUUCUUGUGUUGGCUUCCCUCGUGGGUUGAUAGUAACUUGCAAGUCAAACAGAGAAGCAAACUGGAGCGGAUGGCCUCAGAACCCACCUAGUGCCUCCUCCUUGUGAGCCUUCUUGCAGAAACUCGGUGGCUGCAGGCAUUCAAACGCUGUCGAGCCUGUACUCAAGUCAUACCUCCCGAGAGUCUUCUCUGGAGGACCAGGCUGGGAAGUUCACGGAAUGUCUCUAUUGUGACACACGUGCCAGAUGAGGUCUCUGCAGUGGCAGACUUUGGAGAAGUUUCACCAGAAGCACAGGAUCAUGACAACUUGUUUUUUGCACGUCACCCUUCAUUCUCUGGGCCUGGAAUCUGGAGCACUCACUUAGAUGAACCUGAGAACCUGGGCAGAGAAUGAAUUGAUGACCGUUGAUCUUGUCAGCUGUUAGGCUCUGUGACUGAGUCCCCUGAGAAAGCUGCUCUUAAACAGGACCAGAAGAUCCAAGGCCCUUUCUACAGCUGGAUCUGCUGACCAGUGCUGGAGUGAGUCUGCUGUAGCCAAGGCCCAGCCCUUCAGCCCCAUCCACGGAAACCAUCUUGGGAUCCAUCCUCUGCGUUGAAUGAUGGUUCCUUCAUCUUUAACCAUGUUGGCUGUGGUUCCAGCAGUAGGGCUUUCUCUAGCUUCGCUUCAAAAGCUCUUUGUGGUUUACCUGCCCUUUGGUCUCCCUGUCUUUGGUGACAUUGGGCCAAUCUGAGUUGACUUCAGUCCUGCCAAGGCUCUAUCUGGGAUCUGUCUACUUGGACCCUCUAUAAUGAAGAACCUCAGACAAAACAGAACUUCAGCCCUGUGAAAAUGUUCACCAGCUUUAGAAAUAAAAGAAAAAGAUUUCCAUGUA